rnacentral:rRNA from 1 species
UACGUAGGGCGCAAGCGUUGUCCGGAAUUAUUGGGCGUAAAGAGCGCGUAGGCGGCCAGAUAAGUCCGGUGUGAAAGUCACAGGCUCAACCUGUGAAUGCCGCUGGAAACUGUCUGGCUUGAGUCCGGAAGGGGCGAGUGGAAUUCCUGGUGUAGCGGUGGAAUGCGCAGAUAUCAGGAGGAACACCUAUAGCGAAGGCAGCUCGCUGGGACGACACUGACGCUGAGACGCGAAAGCGUGGGGAGCGAACAGG